rnacentral:rRNA from 1 species
GACGAACGCUGGCGGCGUGCUUAACACAUGCAAGUCGAACGGUGAAGGGACCGGUUUUUGCUGGUUCUGGAUGAGUGGCGAACGGGUGAGUAACACGUGAGUAACCUGCCCCCUUCUUCUGGAUAACCGCAUGAAAGUGUGGCUAAUACGGGAUAUUCUGCGCCUGCUGCAUGGUGGGUGUGGGAAAGAUAUUGUUUCGGUGGGGGAUGGGCUCGCGGCCUAUCAGCUUGUUGGUGGGGUGAUGGCCUACCAAGGCGGUGACGGGUAGCCGGCCUGAGAGGGUGGACGGUCACACUGGGACUGAGACACGGCCCAGACUCCUACGGGAGGCAGCAGUGGGGAAUAUUGCACAAUGGGCGCAAGCCUGAUGCAGCGACGCCGCGUGAGGGAUGGAGGCCUUCGGGUUGUAAACCUCUUUCGCCAGUGAAGCAGGCCUGUCCCUUUUGUGGGUGGGUUGACGGUUGCUGGAUAAGAAGCGCCGGCUAACUACGUG